GGGUCCGUGGUCUAGUUGGUUAUGACGCGGCCUUUACAAGGCCGAAAUCGGCGGUUCAACUCCGCCCGGGCCCA
rnacentral:tRNA from 2 species